rnacentral:lncRNA from 1 species
GGUAUAAAAUAGGGGUUCUAGAGUUUAGGAAUUUUGUAACAUUGAAGUUUAGACCUCGAAUGGAGAUUUAGACAUCAAAUUCAUAUCCAUCCGCGUUGGAUAGAGCACUGGGAGAUUUAGAGAAUGCUUCUUUCUCUCUUUACUUUCUACUCUAUUAACGGUCAAUUCAAGCCCCCCUCCCAAUCCUCUUGUGACUUCAUCGAUGACCCCCUCACCUACGUCAUCACCAGAGUAAGGCCAAAAAUCAAUAGUGAGUAUUACCUACCUUUUUCUCUCUCGCUUUUCCUUCCCUUUCUCCUCCUAUUGCUCUUCUUCUCUUGUCACUAUACCCCCAUCGGCAAUCCCUCUUUAUCCAUCUUCUUUGUCUCUCUCUCACUCUUUCCCCCAUCUUUCUCUCUUUUUCCUUUCUUGCUCCUAUUUUCACUCCCUUAUCCUCUCUUUCUCAUGCCGUAUUUGCCCGGAUCCAAAUAGGGAAGCACUUCAGUGGCAUUUUCUAGUAUCUGUCACUUUUUACGGCCCAAGAGUCUGCCGUUUAUUGAGUAUUUCAGGUACCUAUCUACGAGAGACUCGGAGAAGCUGAGCAUGAGGCAAACGUGCAGGCGGAUGUUUGAUUUGCAACGGAUGGCAGUAAAAGUGGUAGCGGUGUGUGUAAGGUCGGAAUUGAUUUAUUGGGUGUAACAGAGUAGCCCCAAUAUUGGUUGGUGUUCGGAAAAAGGCCGGUGGGAGUUGGAAGGAAGAACCUCAGUCUCUGCGACCUUGAGUGCCCACUAAGUUGAAUUUUCAUGUUCUAUUCUCAGAAGUUGGUACUUCCCACUUUCCUAUUUCUCUUCUUUGUGUUAGUUAAAUUGUUCUUAUUUUAGUUCGCAUUAGUUAAUCUUACUGUUAGUGUGCCUGUAGUAACAACUUGUUUUAUUCUAGUUUGGUCUGUUGCUUUUUUUCUUAGCAGUUUCCCUUAGUCUGUUGUAGGUAUAGUGGUUAUGGUUUAGGAUAGUAAAGUAAGGUCAAGUCCUCGGGGUGGGCGGGAGUGGGUGGGGAAAGGGACAAGGGGUGGGACAGGAGGCAAUGAGGGUAAAGGGAGCCUAUAGGUAGAGAACAUAGACCGGUCCAACAUAAUAUAUUGGAGUUCGAUGCACCUAUGUAUGAACUUCCCGCAUAUUAUACUGGACCGGUAUACAUUGCUGGCUCUAGUAUAAUAUGCUGGAGACUGAAGCACCGGUGCUCCAAAAUCCAGUAUAUUAUGCUGGACCAGUAUAUUAUACUGAAACUCUAUUAUAUUAGAUUGGGGUUCUAGUAUAUUAUGCUGGAGUAUUUUUUCGGAUUUUGAAUAGUGCUUUCGUUCAGAUUUAUCUUUACAUAAAAAAAUAACUAAAUUUCGAUUACUUUUAAACUGUGACUAUUUUUGAAUGACCACUUGUAAAUCGUGCUAUUUUUAAAUUUCUCUCUCAAUGUGCAGAGCACUGGUCAUAUAUGUUUUGAACUUUACGACUUAAAUUGUCUGUUUUAUACGUUUCAGGAAUGUUCUUACGCACCUUCCGCCUGCUACUCCACCCUUUGCGUUUCAAAAGCUUUUAUGUUUAAAAUUUAUUUAAGUAUCUGACCAUAACCUAUAUGAUAUGUUUUAUAAUUAAGAAGUUCAUGACAUAAAUAUUAUCAUGUAAAUAUAUAUAGUAUUACAAAUGGAUAGUUACGUCGAUUUUUCUUCACGUUCUUUUCUUUGAAUCCUAAACUUUGAUUACAUUUUUCUGUAUUUCUUAUAUUUAAUCUAUUUUAUGUGCCUAUAUUAGUCUAUUAUCAAAAAAAAUCUUGGAACUUACACCUCGUGUCUUGGGGUUAACAUUUUGUCGCAUGAUGCGAUUUGGACAAAUUUGCUUGAAGUUGAUUAAAAGGGUUUUUGGUAUUUAAAUUUUGUGAGUAGAAAUUAUUAUUUCACUUGAACUAGUUUUCACAUAAGCUUUUCAACUUCAAAAUUUUAAGUUUAAAUUAAAAUAAUAAAAACAAAAAUUAUACAAUAAUAUUUCAAUAUUUGGGAAUAAUGUUUGGUUUGAAGUUAUAUCACAAUGCCAAAUUCGUCUUUUCCACAUGAUGUUCUACGAUUGAGGUAUUACUUUAAACAUUUAAAAUCUUCACCCAAACUCAUCACAGUGACAGAAUUGGGAGCCAGCAAUUUUCCCUUGCAGUUUGGCACGUGGAAUAUGUCUUGGCAAAAUGGAAGAAAUAUCGUAAUCUCCUUUAAUUCGAGCACGCAAACUAUAGUUUUGUUUAAUUCAUCACAAAAUUCAGUUUUUAGAUGUAGCAUUUUUUAUUUUUUUCUUAAAUGUAGGAAUUAGAAGAGGAAAGUAUGAUAGCAGAGGUUCUAAACAAUUUUAAAAGUGCAAUAUCAUUUUUAUAGGAUAAUUCUGAAUUUUGAUAGGUCAUCAAAGCUUAUAUUUUGGUAGUUGAUAUAUUAAAUUUUAGGGAUAAACAUUGCAUUUAUUCAAACUAAAAGAAAAUUAUUACUUAGGAAUAACAUUAAAAAAGCAAAUAGUUUAAGAACCUUUGGGACGGUUAACUCUAAGCGGAGUUCUUCAGGAAAAAAAAUGGAGUGUAAUUUAAAAAGAAAUAUCACUUGUUGUAGAUGUCGAUGCUUUUCUAAACGUCUGGAGGGGAGGGGAUAGAGAAACAUAAAUUAUAUUAAUGAUGUUUAAAAUAAUAAAGGUGAAAAAACAUCUAAGAAUGAUACAUAUUUAAAUCAUGAAUAUGAUCUUAGAGAUGGAAAUUAGCACAAAACGAAUUACUAUAAGUAGGGUGAAACAGACUUACUUUGCCAAUGAAUAUCACUGUUGGAAACUUGUAAAUAUAUUUCAUUCUCAUUAUAAGAAAUCAAGAUUUGUCUCCAUGCACUGCUCAUAAUAACUAAAAUUUGAACUCUUUUGUAAUGAGGCUAGGAUAUAUUACACAAAGCAUACAUUACGUUAACAGAAGCAAUUCCUUAAAACUGGUAUACAAUACAACCUUUCUCUGCUGAUCGAGCAGUAACUAAACUUUUUAAGUUGUUAGUUGAAGACCUGGUGGAACUGGAACUUCAUUAGAAUGUCCAGAGAUGCAGAGAUUGCCAUGAUUAUCCUGUUCCCAAUAAACCUCAACCAUAAGCCCUCGAGGGUUCUCCGAGGAUGUUGUCCCAGGGAUCUCUACAUACUUCGAUCCUUAGGGUACCUUCAUUGCAUUGUAAGGCCAAUUAGUGACUUUGUUUUGGAAAAUUUCAUCUUUUCUCAGGAUGCUGUUUAGCCAGUUAACGAUAUAAUCUUCAUCCGAAUUGAAGCACUUACCUGGAGAGUGGUUCCGGAUGCUAAUGUCAGUGUCUUGAUGCUUCCUUCAGAUUUGGCUUCCUCUAGCUCUGCCUUCUUUGCAAUGUUCAUAAACACUUCUUCUAGCGUUGUAAGACCUAUCUUGAUAUUUAGUAUGCCUAAUUCCGUUUUCCUGUUUUCUAGCUUGGAGAAAAAUUUCUGAUGCGGGUGCACCAAUAAUAUCAGGAUAAAGUUUGACUAUUCGUACAAAGCGGCAGAACAUGAGAAAUGACGUAGUAAUAGUUACUUACUCCUAGUUGAUUCUCCUUCUCGUGAGGAAUAACAAAAGUCAAGAAGGAUUUAUCUUCCUCUUUUGGUGUGACAUCUAAGUUCUGUAAAACAGAUAACUUAAGUCAAGAGCAUGAGUUUAUUAGUUAAAGAAAAUGUGAAAAAAGCGCUCCUACUAAAAGACCUGACUGAAGAAUUCUUUGACUGCCUCACGUUUCGUGUCUAUCACAUUAGAAGCUGCCGAAAGGGGAAGUGUGUGAUGAUAACCAAUUCUAGAUGGUGACGUCUAUUAUUUCGUGUGCCGAUGCUAUGUGAUUAAAUAGUAAAAUGGAAAUUAUAGUUAUUUCAUUAUGAAGAAAGGCAGCAGAAAUAAAUGAUGGUUUCCACUAACUCAACGUAUUAACUAAAUGUGAAUACUUAUAGCUGCAACAACAAAAAAUCCAGUUUUGCGCCAUUCAACUUUAGCCAAAAAGCUACUUUGUAGUGAGGGAGUAUAGGGAAAUUCACCUGGACAGCUAUGUAAGCUUUCUUAAUCUUGCAUGUACAGUAAAAACAGCAUAGACAACAAGAGUGGCAACUUAAGCUCAUUGUUCCAGAAUAUGUCUUGGAAAGGUCUCGUAGCUGAACAGAAACAUUGGGAUCAAUAAUGCCUCCCUUGACUUGUUGUUUCACCCUGUUUUCCUCGUCGAGAACACCCUCAUCAUCUUGGGAGAAACUGUCAUUUGAUAGUGCAGAACCAGAACCUAAAAUGGGGGUAUUUUCUGAAACAACCGAGAAAGAGCUUGGUUUUUAAAU